rnacentral:misc_RNA from 1 species
GAUGAAGAACGUAGCGAAAUGCGAUACGUAGUGUGAAUUGCAGAAUUCAGUGAAUCAUUGAAUCUUUGAACGCACAUUGCACCUCUCGGUAUUCCGGGAGGUAUGCCUGUUCGAGCGUCAUUUCAACCCUCAAGCUCAGCUUGGUAUUGAGUCCAUGUCAGUAAUGGCAGGCUCUAAAAUCAGUGGCGGCGCCGCUGGGUCCUGAACGUAGUAAUAUCUCUCGUUACAGGUUCUCGGUGUGCUUCUGCCAAAACCCAAAUUUUCUAUGGUUGACCUCGGAUCAGGUAGGGAUACCCGCUGAACUUAAGCAUAUCAAUAAGCGGAGGA